GGCUUAGAGUUUGAUCAUGGCUCAGGACGAACGCUGGCGGCGUGCUUAACACAUGCAAGUCGAACGGGGUGUUUAUUUCGGUAAACACCAAGUGGCGAACGGGUGAGUAACGCGUAAGCAAUCUACCUUCAAGAUGGGGACAACACUUCGAGAGGGGUGCUAAUACCGAAUGAAUGAGAGAUGACCGCAUGGAUAUUUCUCUAAAGGAGGCCUCUGAAAAUGCUUCCGCUCGAAGAUGAGCUUGCGUCUGAUUAGCUAGUUGGUGAUGGUAAAGGCCCACCAAGGCGACGAUCAGUAGCCGGUCUGAGAGGAUGAACGGCCACAUUGGGACUGAGACACGGCCCAGACUCCUACGGGAGGCAGCAGUGGGGAAUCUUCCGCAAUGGGCGAAAGCCUGACGGAGCAACGCCGCGUGAACGAAGAAGGUCUUAGGAUCGUAAAGUUCUGUUGUUAGGGGCGAAGGGCAACAUUUUGAAUAAGGGUGUUGUUUGACGGUACUUAACGAGGAAGCCACGGCUAACUACGUGCCAGCAGCCGCGGUAAUACGUAGGCGGCAAGCGUUGUCCGGAAUUAUUGGGCGUAAAGGGAGCGCAGGCGGGAAGUUAAGCGGACUUUAAAAGUGCGGGGCUCAACCCCGUAAGGGGGUCCGAACUGACUUUCUUGAGUGCAGGAGAGGGAAGCGGAAUUCCUAGUGUAGCGGUGAAAUGCGUAGAUAUUAGGAAGAACACCAGUGGCGAAAGCGGCUUUCUGGACUGUAACUGACGCUGAGGCUCGAAAGCUAGGGUAGCGAACGGGAUUAGAUACCCCGGUAGUCCUAGCCGUAAACGAUGGAUACUAGGUGUGGAGGUAUCGACCCCUUCCGUGCCG
rnacentral:rRNA from 1 species